rnacentral:tRNA from 1 species
CACUAAGAAGCUAAACAGGGAAUAGCGUUAGCCUUUUAAGCUAAAGAAUGGUGACUCCCGACCACCCAUAGUGA